ACCCUGAGACCGUUUAACUUGUACACAGAUUAAAGACAGGUUACGGUCUUAGGCACA
rnacentral:pre_miRNA from 2 species